rnacentral:lncRNA from 1 species
UCUUUUCCAUUUUUUAUUAGGUAUUUAGCUCAUUUACAUUUCCAAUGCUAUACCAAAAGUCCCCCCAUAGCCACCCACCCCCACUCCCCUACCCACCCACUCCCCCUUUUUGGCCCUGGCGUUCCCCUGUACUGGGGCAUAUAAAGUUUGCAUGUCCAAUGGGCCUCUCUUUCCAGUGAUGGCCGACUAGGCCAUCUUUGUAAAAUUUUAUAAAGGUAAUCUUAAAUAUAUCAUGUAGUGGUAGAAAGAAACAUUUUCAUAUAUUUAAAGUGUGGCGCAUUGGGCAAUUCACAGACAGGCUGGUCUCCAGUCGGGCUGAGCUGUGGAACCCCGGGACCGGAGGUGAUAAUUCAUCUACAUUGGAUGAUACUUUCUCAACUAGAUCCAUUUCAUAACCUGUACUGCUGUUCUAGACUGCUGUAAUUUCUUUCGGCAUACAACCAGGCACUUGAUGUAUAACAUGUAAUGGGGAAGGACUUCAUAAUUGCAGAACUGUCUUCAAGGCUUCAUCUAAAAGCAGAGUCCAUUGCUUCUGACAACUGGCAAGAUUUCCAAGAUUGCCUGCAUUGGAGUAUAGCUUUAAAAAUGCAUGAAACUCAAGAAGAAUGAAGACCAAAAUGUGGACACUGUGCCCCUUCUUAGAAUUGGGAACAAAACACCCAUGGAAGGAGUUACAGAGACAAAGUUUGGAGCUGUGACAAAAGGAUGGACCAUCUAGAGACUGCCAUAUCCAGGGGUCCAUCCCAUAAUCAGCUUCCAAACGCUGACACCAUUGCAUACACUAGCAAGAUUUUGCUGAAAGGACCCAGAUAUAGCUGUCUCUUGUGAGACUAUGCUGGGGCCUAGCAAACACAGAAGUGGAUGCUCACAGUCAGAUAUUGGAUGAAUCACAGGGCUCCCAAUGGAGGAGCUAGAGAAAGUACCCAAGGCGCUAAAGGAAUCUGCAACCCUAUAGAUGGAACAACAUUAUGAACUAACCAGUACCCCGGAUCUCUUGACUCUAGCUACAUAUGUAUCAAAAGAUUGCCUAGUUGGCCAUCAGUGGAAAGAGAGGCCCAUUGGACUUGCAAACUUUAUA